rnacentral:tRNA from 1 species
GCUAUAUAGCUCCGUUGGUUAGAGCAUGGUGCUGAUAUCACCAAGGUUGCAGGUUUGAUCCCUGCAUGGGACAGCUGCA